AAAUGCAAAUACAAAAGUGUUUAACUCACAUGAGGAAUCACUGAAAUUAUGGUUUGUGUUAUGUGGCUCGAGCAUGCAUGUGUAUUUCAUUUCUACCAUAACAGCGACAAUGCUGCUGAAAAGUAGCUCAACUGUUUGUAUUUUACUUCUUGCUACAUGCACGUGCGCCAGCACCCUCUAUCUUCAGCUGACUAAUGAGGGAGAAAGCACUGAAGGACAGGAACUCUGGGUUGCCCUGUCCUCAUCUUUCCUCUUAUGUCAUCAUGUUCAAAGUUCGUGGUUGUCGAAUACUGGAAGUAGCCCAGUCAUGUGUGGCUUUGUAGGGCUUCCAUAUGCCCCUCCUUCUGUGGUAGAGCACGAUUACCUUCUACUCGCCUUCAGUGUCGCUGAACUGCACCGGAAUCCACUGGAAUUCUGUAUGCAUGGGCCUUGGGAGCGUGAAUGGAGCAGCAAGGAACGGGGACACAUAUAUCACCUGUGUCUCUGCACAUGCACACGGUUUGUGGCUCCGUCGGACUUCACUUACAAAACCCAAGUUCAAAGAUCAUAUUAUGAAGC
rnacentral:lncRNA from 1 species